ACGGAAGGCAGCAGUGGGGAAUAUUGCACAAUGGGCGCAAGCCUGAUGCAGCAACGCCGCGUGAGGGAAGACGGUUUUCGGAUUGUAAACCUCUGUCUUUGGUGACGAAGAAGUGACGGUAGCCAAGGAGGAAGCCACGGCUAACUACGUGCCAGCAGCCGCGGUAAUACGUAGGUGGCAAGCGUUAUCCGGAAUUACUGGGUGUAAAGGGAGCGCAGGCGGGUCAGCAAGUCAGCGGUGAAAAUUAUGGGCUCAACCCAUAAACUGCCGUUGAAACUGUUGAUCUUGAGUGGAGUAGAGGCAGGCGGAAUUCCGAGUGUAGCGGUGAAAUGCGUAGAUAUUGGGAGGAACACCAGUGGCGAAGGCGGCUUACUGGGCCUUAACUGACGCUGAGGCACGAAAGUAUGGGGAGCAAACAGGAUUAGAUACCCUGGUA
rnacentral:rRNA from 1 species